UACGAAGGGGGCUAGCGUUGUUCGGAUUUACUGGGCGUAAAGCGCACGUAGGCGGAUCGUUAAGUCGGGGGUGAAAUCCUGGAGCUCAACUCCAGAACUGCCUUCGAUACUGGCGAUCUUGAGUCCGGAAGAGGUGAGUGGAACUCCUAGUGUAGAGGUGGAAUUCGUAGAUAUUCGGAAGAACACCAGUGGCGAAGGCGGCUCACUGGCCCGGUACUGACGCUGAGGUGCGAAAGCGUGGGGAGCAAACGGG
rnacentral:rRNA from 1 species